AAAUGGAGCCCAAAGCAUGGCCACUUGUCUUGGAUUCUAUAUUCACAGGCGCCCCUGUCUGCGAGGCACUGCUUUACUAAUGACAAAGGACGUGGAAGAAAGAUAUUUCCAACCACGGAAGGAAGAAGUGAGUCGACCGAUUCUUGGAAGAAAACGUUAAGAGAAUUCUGUUGGAAAAAUCCUCUUGAACUGGAUGCAUCUGGACCUUACGUUACGUUGUGGAAUUUGUACUAGAGAUAAUCUACUUUUCUCCUUAACCCUCCCAGUUGGUUUCAAACUCUUGUUUCCUGCUACAACCUCAAUCCUCUGAGAGCUUCUCAAGCAAAAUGAGUGAAACACAGGCCUGAGUCUAUACCUCCAUGGAAACAUCAAGGAGAUUCCCUUUCAUACCAUCAAAAUCCGAUUCUGCCAACCAAAAUACUGGGUCCUCCUUUAUUCUUCUCUCACUGACAGAUCUCAGACCCCAGAGGCUUCAAACCUGGAUUCUAAGGAAUUUAAUACCAAUGGGGACUAGGACCAUGAAGACCACUAAAAUGAAAGCUUCAUAUGGAAGGGAUGGGGAAGAAUCACGCCUGGACAAGGCUUCACCCACAGCAUUGAGCAAGUCAGAGGUCCAAGCCAUCAGAAAAUGGAAUUCUCUACAUGAGAAGAAAGUCCCUUCAGAAUCACAUGACGAAGCUAUUGGAGAGCAAGUAGGGGGUCUAGAUUUUAGCCAGACCAGCUCGAGGGUUGGUGUUUGAGAAUACACAGAGGUAGGCCGUGAGCACAGUAAGAACUGGGAAACAGUAGUCCC